AUAAUUUGUCUUUUAAAUGAAGACUAGUACAAAAGAUUUCACAUUUUAAGUUUUUUAUUUAGGAUAAAAUUCCAAAUUCUCCUAAGUGUAAAAAGACACUUCUAAAAAAGAAAGACGACAAGACCCUAUCGAACUUCACUUUAGUUUUACUGGGGAAGUAAAUUAUUUAUUAUUUUAAUAUAUAAUUCUAUACAAAUAUCCACCUAACUGAUAAAUCAGUUACCAUAGGGAUAACAGCGCAAUUAAAUUUUAAAGACCUUAUUUAAAAAAUAGAUUACGACCUCGAUGUUGAAUUAAUAUCCUUUUUAAAGCAAAUUUUAGAAAAGAAAGUCUGUUCGACUUUUAAUAAAUUACAUGAUUUGAGUUCAGACCGGUGUAAGCCAGGUCGGUUUCAAUCUUCUAAAAACUUUUUAACAGUACGAAAGGACCUAAAAAUAUAAUAUAAUUAUUAUAUUGGCAGAAAAAUGCAUUAGAAUUAGAAUCUAAUAAAACUAAC
rnacentral:rRNA from 1 species